CCCUCUCUUUCGUCUUUCCUUCGCAAUCGCACGUCUAGCUGGUCUGAUAACUCCUAUUGUGGAACUAUAGACACAAUCGUAAGAAGGCGGAAGAGGUAUACUUAGAGAGGUUAAUUUCCCUCAAUGUUCAAAUGUUCUCCUUGUGAAACAUGUUUCAAAGAGGCUCAAUUGAUGCUAUAUUGCCAGAACGUGAACAAGGAUCAGGUAUCCAAGAAGUAGAUUGGGACCGGCCGUAGAGUUGGACAUCUCUAUGUGGUGGAAAGUUUGCAUCUUCUUCAGUCCACCUCCCUCGUUGCACUUUCAUCUUUUCAGUUAGAUUCUCAGUCGAGUUAGUUUUAUUUAUGCCAUUCUCGCUUAGGUCAUUUGUUUGUUAGCUGCUUGCAGUCUUUAGCUCAGUCAGGAUUGUUAGGUAAACUUUCUCCUAGUCAAAUUAAUGAGUGUCGAGGAUGUAAACUUGCUAAAAUGGCAGGUGUACCUUUUAAUAACAGUACUUCUAUUUCUGCUUCCCUUUUUUCUCUUGUCCAUAUUGAUGUCUGGGGACUUUCUCCUAUUCUCACUAAAAGGGGUUCUGCGUAUUAUGUGUCAUUUGUUGAUGAUUGUAUCCGCUAUACCUGGGUUUAUCUUAUGGCUCAUAAAUCUGACUUCUACUAGAUAUAUCGUACCUUUCAGUCUAUGAUCACUAUAUAGUUUGGGGUCACCAUUAAAAUACUCUAGUCUGACAUGGAUGGGGAAUACUUUAAAACUGAAUUCUGUGAGUAUUUGGCCAAAUUAGGCACCAUUCACCAAACCUCCUGUACUGAUACCCCUGUCCAAAAUGGUCGUGCUGAGCUUAAACACUAUCAUCUCCUUGAGACAACUCGAUCUCUUCUUCUCUCUGCCUCUGUUCCGACACCAUUCUGGGAUGAGACAGUUCUUACCGCUGCCUUCCUCCUUAAUUGUAUGCCAACUCCCUUACUCUCCGGUCGAUCCCCUUCUGAUGGGUCUCUUGAGCGCUACAAAGCUCGUUUGGUUGCCAAAGGUUUCUCUCAGGAGUAUGGUAUUGAUUAUGAGGAGACAUUUGCUCCUAUUGCUAAGAUGACUAUUGUCCGUACUUUGAUCUCUGUCGCUGCUAUUUGUUCUUAGCCUCUUUAUCAAAUGGAUAUUAAGAAUGUUUUUCUUAAUGGCCAUCCCACUAAAGAGGUUUACAUGUGUCCUCCCCUUGGCCUUCACCCUUCACUAUUUCUUUGGCUAGGUUUGUCGUCUUCGGUGUGCUCUGUAUGGUCUAAAGUAGUCUCCUCGUGCUUGGUAUGAUCGUUUUCAGAUUGCUGUUACCGAGCUUGGGUUUCAUCCUUCUGCUUCCGACUCUGCUUUAUUUCUAAGACAUACAUCGGUUGGUUUUGUUGCUCUCUUACUCUAUGUGGAUAAUAUGAUCAUCACUAGCUUUGACUCUUCUGCUAUCUCUGAGGUCAAGCAGCAUCUCUUUCGCACCUUCGAAAUAAAAGAUCUGGGUCCAUUACGGUAUUUUCUUGGUAUUGAGGUUGCUUCUUCUCCAAAGGGCUAUUUUCCGUCUCAGGUUAAGUAUGCUAAUGAAGUCAUUCACCGUACUGGUCUUAUUGAUACUAAGGUUUUUGAUACACCUAUUAAGCUUAAUGUGAAGCUUAACUCUAUUGAUAGUAUCCCUCUGGAUGAUCCCACUUUAUAUCGCGAGCUUGUGGGUUGUUUAGUUUAUCUGACUGUCACUCACCCUGAUCUUGCUUAUACUGUUCAUGUAGUUAGUCAGUUUGUUUCUACUCCUCGCUUUACCCAUUGGGCUACUUUGGUUCGCAUUUUUCUCUAUUUCAGGAGUACCAUUUUUCAGGGCUUACUGUUGUCCUCUACUUCCUCUUUGGACUUGGUGGCCUAUGCUAACUCUGAUUGGGCUAGUGAUGUUACUGAUCGCAAGUCUACGUCUAGUUUCUGUAUGUUACUUGGUGAUUUCUUGAUCUCUUGGAAAAGCAAAAAACAAUCAGUUGUUGCUCGCUCUACUGCCGCAGCUAACACUACAGGAAAUUAGAGAUUUAGUGGCGUUUAAUUAA